GACGAACGCUGGCGGCGCGCUUAAUACAUGCAAGUCGAACGAGAAUCAUUGGUGCUUGCACUGAUGAGGAAAGUGGCGAACGGGUGAGUAACACAUGAGAAACCUGCCCCAAAGACCGGGAUAAGCUCUGGAAACGGAGUCUAAUACCGGAUACCUUCUUUUUAUCACAUGUUAAAAAGAAGAAAUGCUCCGGCGCUUUGGGAUGGUCUCGUGGUCUAUCAGCUUGUUGGUGAGGUAAAAGCUCACCAAGGCAUCGACGGAUAGCUGGUCUGAGAGGAUGUCCAGCCACAUUGGAACUGAGAUACGGUCCAAACUCCUACGGGAGGCAGCAGUAGGGAAUCUUGCACAAUGAGGGAAACCUUGAUGCAGCGACGCCGCGUGCGGGACGAAGGCCCUAGGGUUGUAAACCGCUUUCAGUAGGGACGAAAGUGACGGUACCUACAGAAGAAGCCCCGGCCAACUAUGUG
rnacentral:rRNA from 1 species